GGGCAUUUUGGGUAGAAGAGACAUUCACACUGGGGAUUGGUGGGGAAGGGGAUGUGGGUGUGUAAUUCACUCAUGGUACCUAAAUCCAGCAUGAAGACCUAUGAGAUUGGAGAGUACGGACCUGGAUCUCCACACUGGGUUCUCUUUUCUUCCCUAGAGUGUGCUGGGGAGCCAUGGGAGAGUUGUGAGCAGGGAAGGAACAGAUUGGCUCUGGUGUUCCGACAUGGCGACCGGGCCCCACUGGCCUCCUACCCCACAGAUCCACACAAGGAAGCUGCCUCCACCUUGUGGCCUCGAGGCUUGGGCCAACUGACUAAGGAGGGGAUCCGCCAGCAGCUAGAACUGGGCCGAUUUCUGAGGAGGCGUUACAAGGCUUUCCUGAGCCCUGAGUACAAGCGAGAAGAGGUGUACAUCCGCAGCACAGACUUUGACCGGACAUUGGAGAGUGCACAAGCCAACCUGGCUGGGCUCUUCCCUGAGGCUGCCCCUGGAAGUCCUGAGACUGACUGGAAGCCCAUUCCAGUGCACACAGUGCCUGUGUCUGAGGACAAGUUGCUGAGGUUCCCCAUGCGCAGCUGUCCUCGAUACCAUGAGCUGUUACGAGAGUCCACAGAGGCAGCUGACUACCAGGAGGCCCUGGAGGGCUGGACGGACUUCCUGACCCGCCUGGGCAACUUCACUGGGCUGUCCCUGGUUGGAGAGCCACUCCGGAGAGCAUGGAAAGUUCUGGAUACCUUGAUCUGCCAGCGUGCCCAUGGUCUUGACCUUCCAUCCUGGGCCUCUCCAGAUGUCUUGAGGACUCUGUCACAGAUUUCUGCUCUGGAUAUCAGGGCCCAUGUAGGCCCACCCCGAGCAGCAGAAAAGGCCCAGCUGACAGGGGGGAUCCUGCUGGAUGCUAUUCUCAGCAAUUUCUCCCGGACCCAGCGCCUUGGGUUGCCCCUCAAGAUGGUCAUGUACUCAGCUCAUGACAGCACCCUGCUGGCCCUCCAGGGGGCCCUGGGCCUCUACGAUGGGAACACCCCACCUUACGCUGCCUGCAUGGCCUUUGAAUUCCGGGGGAGCUCCAGGGAACCCGAGGAGGAAGAUGGAGAGAAUGUCACUGUCUCUCUCAUCUACCGCAAUGACACCUCCCGCCCACCCCUGCCACUCAGGGUCCCUGGGUGCCCAGCUCCCUGUCCACUUGGGCGCUUCCAGCAGCUGACUGCUCCAGCCCGGCCUCCAGCCCAUGGGGCCCCCUGCCAUGGUUCUUAUGAGCCUGCCAGCCCCCCAGGUGACAGCCCUCUACGCUGGGGUGGGAGUGGGGAGUUCCCAAGGCCUGGGAUUCACAACCCCCAUGUUCUUCCUGCAGCCACGGUGCCCCUGCUGGCCGGAGCUGUGGCUGUGCUGGCCGUGCUAAGCCUGGGGCUUGGUCUUCUGGCCUGGAGGCCCAGAUGCCUGCGGGCCCUGGGAGGGACUGUGUGAGGGGGGAUGAAUAGACACAAAAAUACCCCGAGCUGACACUGGAUCCCAACACGUGUGCUCACUUGCUGCUCUGGCUUGUCACUUACUGUGCUCAUGCGCGUGUGGGGAUGAAGGCUGGGUGGGCCUCAAGCAUUAUGCUUGCUUGGACACUGCAAUCAGGUGUUGUACAUACAGGUGUCGGGGCUCACAAUAAGCACGUGUGCAGGUGGGAACCUGUAGCCUGAGAGCACACAGGACUCAAUUGCCUUAAGCAACUCUAACCCUGGUAUGGUGGCAGAACAGAUAGAGAUAGAGAUCCCUCCACUUGAGGGAGCCUGCCAGCCCCCCAGACCGCUGGAGUAUCCUCUGGAAACAGGCCAAAGGUGGGCAAGUGCGCCUGUGCCUCACCUGCUCUG